ACUCUGCCCAGUGGUCAAUGCUGACAAAGACGAUUUAGAGCAUUUUAUGUUUAAAACAACUUCAAACUUAAAUUAUCUUUUGUAAAAACUUUCAGAAUCCUGAAAUAUAACCAACUGAAAAUUGUAGCAUUUAAUAUUCAGUUGGAAUGGACUUUGAACCCUGAUGGUAACAUGUUUAAAUCCUUUGAAAUCCAUGUCACCUUGUCAGAGUCUGGUUGUCUUGACAAUUACAUUUGUUUGCUUUUUUUUUUCUUUGAUGUUUUGGAAAAAAUUGUCAUGAGGUUUUAGAAAUAUUCUUACUACCUUAGAAGAAGCAAAUGACUUUAAGAUUGAGUUGUAGCUGUCAAAUCUGAGAAUCAAAUAUGUAUGGAGUUUAAUUUAAUAUUAGAUACCCGCUAGAAUAUGCUGUUUUGAGUAGAAAGUAAAGUAAGGCUUUAAUCUGAAUUUCUGUCGUUGAUAUACCUCUUUAAAGCUUACAUAUUAUUCUCCGGUACCUGGCUAGCAUGUGUGCGAGCAGGGACAAAGGUGGUGAGGUCUGAGGGCACUUAGCUUAUCCCUAGGCAGAUUAGCUGCUGUCACAGCACUGAUGGUGUGACUUCCUAAUCUGACCUCAAAGGCCCUGAGUGGGGGCUUUGUUCUUACUAUUUUAUUAGCAUUACUCCCAGUACUUAGCACAGUGACUUAACACGGGGCCUGUGUCGGCAGGUGGUUGUCACAUGGUGCACAGGAGCUGUAGCCCCCCCCUGAGGUGGCUCUGCAGUCCCUGCCAGUUCCUCGCUUGACUGUGCUGCAUUUUUUUUUUCCCCCCCGAGCUCAUGAGUGACUACAGCUGUGAUGACCUUUAAGUUUCCUGCUCUUGAUGUCUGUUGGCUGGGGCGUUCUUGUUUAUUAUGUAUAGUUUAUUUCUGACCCACGUGCAGCUAGGACAUAUUUCCAAGAUAAACAGAGUUCUUCACAGCAUCCCCCUCACUUCAAACACUGCUGUUACUAAGGAAAUGUCAGGGGUUCAGAGGUACCCUUUUUCUAGGAACUUAGGAUCAAGACCAAUAAAAUACUUACCCACCAUGUCUCCACUUGUUACUAGCCAGAUUACACUGUUUUCUCAUUGUGCUGGAAGACAACCGAGUCACAGCAUGUAUGUGUAACCCUUAUAAGCUUCAGGCCUUUGGUUAACAUUUGUUCUCACUAAAUCCUUAAAAGUUUAAUAUUUAUCUUUUUAAAUGACCGUUUCAGUGGGACGUAGCAUUUCUGCAAAGGUAGGUAUUCUAGGUAACAUAAGGUUUCAUGUGUCAUAUUUAAUCCUAGUAUGUUGCUGGGUGAGGUGAGAUUGGGGGCAGGGUGGUGGUCUGGGUAAGGGAAGAUUGGGGACAGCAUGGUGGUCUGGGUGAGGGGAGAUUGGGGGCAGGGUGGCAGCCUGGGUGAGGUGAGGUGGCCCCUUCCCCCCUCCACCCCCACAGUGCUCUCACCAUGAUGUGCAGUUGUGAUACCAUGGGACAAAUCCCAGAGCUUGACACUUGGAUGUCUCUGCUUGUGUCAUGUUUGCUGCUGUUCCACUGAUCAAAUGGAGUAAGAGGUGACAGAGACCCACCGGGCCCCCCUCCAUGUGUGCACAACUAUAAGUGGUCCUACUAUAAGUGGUGACUGUAGGAGGAGGGGCGAUUUAUGGCUGUACUUGCUGUGUGCCACAGUGAAUUUCAGUGCCUAUGGUGGACAAGAAGCCUGACAUUUCUCAUUAGCAUAUAGUAGUGAUAAAACCUCACAAAUGACUUUGAAUUCUUUCUAGUCAAGUCAUCAUUGUAUCAAGAUGUACGUGGAGUUAAAAAGAAAGCUCAGGCACAGACCUGCAGAAUAUUGAAUUUCUAUGUUCUUUAACUGAAUUUAAUUCUGUAACAAAGUCAUUCCCCAAAAUUAAGAUUUAACAAAUAUAUGGAAAACCUGUUAGUUAUAAUAUUAGGAAGACAAUUAAAUCUCAGUGAUUUGCUGUUAAAGUUGAUGACUUCUCUCUCUGGAACUGGAGAGUGAACCCAGGGUUUGAGCAUUCCAGACAAGCAUUGUGCCUGCUGGGCUAUGUGCCCAUCCCUCAGAAGGCGUUUUCUCGAAGGUAAUACAUAAUGUUUGCCCAUAUUGAUGGGAUGUUUUCAUUUUUAAUAGAAUUAUCUUUGUUAUAUUAGCACAUUAUUAAUACAUUCUUAAAUUCCAGAAAAUACCUACCCCAUUUUAAAGCAAAUUUUGUAUGUUAUACUCUUUAUUUAUUUCUUUGUAGUUUUUGUAGGCAUUGCCUUCUGGUUGGUCAGCUAUUGUAAUCUAGGCUUCACGCUUCACGUCUUUAGAUAAUAUCAUCUGAUUGAAAAUUUUGCAGAAGGAUUUUCUUGUUUUCUUGGCGGCUCAGCUAAAAUCAGUAGGGUCAGAUCGAUUGGGAGAUGAGUGAAGAAGGCUAAGCCUCAGCAAGAGUCUUCCAGAACAUGGGCUGGGCUCCAGUCUCAUUCACUGCUCCAGCCUUGACACAUUAAACUAAACCGCGUCCAUAGCACCAUCGCAGACCAGCCGGCUCUGCUGAUCAUUGACCAGCCCUUGCUCCUCCAGGAAACAGACAAGGUUAUAUAGGAUGGUGAUCAUGACUGGAAGAGGAUCAGAUGACCCAUGAAGCACCAGACCGCAGAGAAAGCUGCUUCCAGGGGCUGGGGAAGCUGACUUUUAAAGACACUAUUGUUUGACAGCUUCCGAGAAUGAAAAGCAUGCUCUGCCUUUAAGAAGGAAUUUUUAAACUAAGAAUAUGCCUUCUCAUUUACUAUGUUCAGAGUAUAAGGAUCAACCCCCAAAAUGGCUUCAGAGAGCCGAGGAAAGUGGUAUGUGCCUAUAAUUCUAGCAGUAGACAGGUCGAGGCAGGGGGAUCACAAGUUUGAAGCCAGCCUGGACUAUGUACAGAGCUCUAGUCUCUGGGAUAGCACCCUGUCUCAGAAAAAUAAUUUUAAAUUUGUCCUGAAAAGCAUAGAUAACGCAGUAAAAUUAAAGAGGCCGACUGUCUUCGUUCUAGGGUUCCCGUAGAAACACUACAAUAGUGCUAAGUGUGCACAUCAUUAGUGAGAAUAAAGGACAAAGCAAGAUAGGACAGGUGAGCUGGAUGCUGGUGAGACCUGGUUUCUGCCUGCACCACGGGCAGUUCUGGAAUAAGGAUUGCCUGUUGGAAACAUUCUCCAGAUGGAAGCAGCCAGGAUUUGUAUCCUGUCCCUUGAUGGUCUUUUGCUGAGAGCCACCCAUGUGGAGCAGGCCCCUAAUUCUAUCUAACAUCUUGCUUGGUACCCAGAAACUUAGAACUAGUUUGAGUUUGAGUUUAAAAUGGGCCUGAAGUCCACAGCUGGAGAGAGUUGGACAACACGUUCCUCAGAGCUGGGCAGCCUGUCCCCUCUUGAAGUCUGGGAGGUUAUUUUUUUGGACCUGAUCUACCUCUAAUAGUGUAUGUUACGCAGCUUAAUUUGUAAAUUGCAUAAGCACGUUCACGUGGCCUUUGCAGCUUUUCAAGACGCUAUACCUGGAAAAAGCUGUAAGCAGAACCCCUUUCAAAACAAGUUUCAGUAGCCAAACAAUUAUGAACAGACUUUGUAUUGAGGUUUUAAAGCUGUCUCUUCCAGCCUGGCAUUCUGACUUAUUGUAAUAGAUUUUGCUAAAAUCCGUCUAAUGCCAAUAAAACAAAACCAACCUUGUUCUA